rnacentral:ncRNA from 1 species
CCGCGCCUGCGACCGCGGUCCGGCCCGACUCCGGUACCUGGUACGGCCGGGGCGG